rnacentral:tRNA from 1 species
GGGGCUGUGGGGUAGCCUGGUUAGCCUUUCGGCUUUGGGAGCCGACGACCCCGGUUCGAAUCCGGGCAGCCCCA